rnacentral:rRNA from 1 species
UACGUAGGGUGCAAGCGUUGUCCGGAAUUAUUGGGCGUAAAGAGCUCGUAGGCGGUUUGUCGCGUCGACUGUGAAAACCUACAGCUUAACUGUGGGCUUGCAGUCGAUACGGGCAGACUUGAGUUCGGUAGGGGAGACUGGAAUUCCUGGUGUAGCGGUGAAAUGCGCAGAUAUCAGGAGGAACACCGGUGGCGAAGGCGGGUCUCUGGGCCGAUACUGACGCUGAGACGCGAAAGCGUGGGGAGCAAACAGG